rnacentral:rRNA from 1 species
CACGCCGUAAACUAUGGAUGCUAGCUGUUAGAAGUAUCGACCCUUCUAGUAGCGAAGCUAACGCGUUAAGCAUCCCGCCUGUGGAGUACGGUCGCAAGACUAAAACAUAAAGGAAUUGAC